CUGGCCCCUGGAACCUCACGGAGCACAGCAGCAACAGCAGCAGCAGGCUGACCCCCCGGAGCCGUCUUCCGAGUGACCGCUCGCGCUUCCCUUGCGCGCCCCACGCCCGGACUCAGAGGCCCCGAGGCCCCACGCAGGGCUGGCUGCUGCCUCCGGGAAGAGGACUGACUGCCAGGCGGGAGGAAAAGCAGACUCAUUUGCUUCGAUCCCAAGGAGAGAAUGAAGGCCAGAAAAGAGAGCUAAAAAAGAAGUAUAACUGGGAACAACCAAAAAGAAGAAAAACAAGACAGAAACCUUCCCUGUGAGUUCAGAGGCUGCUCUAACGCCCUAUGCUGUCUGUCCCCAGGUCCUGAGGCUCUGGAAGCUCAGGUGAGUUGCUCAAGCUCUCCUGCCGUCCUCCACGUGUACACACACACAC